UACGUAGGGACCAAGCGUUGUUCGGAUUUACUGGGCGUAAAGGGCGCGUAGGCGGCGCGGUAAGUCACUUGUGAAAUCUCUGAGCUUAACUCAGAACGGCCAAGUGAUACUGCAGUGCUAGAGUGUGGAAGGGGCAAUCGGAAUUCUUGGUGUAGCGGUGAAAUUCGUAGAUAUCAAGAGGAACACCUGAGGUGAAGACGGGUUGCUGGGCCAACACUGACGCUGAGGCGCGAAAGCCAGGGGAGCAAACGGG
rnacentral:rRNA from 1 species